rnacentral:rRNA from 1 species
UCCUGGAAUGGUUCCACGCCCAAACGUUAGCUCGCCCAUGUCGCGAGCACACGCCCGAGGAUGGGGCUGCGGCUGAUCAGGCUGUUGGUGAGGUAACGGCUCACCAAACCUUUGACCGGUACGGGCCGUGAGAGCGGUAGCCCGGAGAUGGACACUGAGACAAGGGCCCAGGCCCUACGGGGCGCAGCAGGGGCGAAACCUCCACAAUGCACGAAAGUGUGAUGGGGUUACCUCGAGUGCCGUCUGAAAAAGGCGGCUUUUCCAUGGUGUAAUGCGCCGUGGGAAUAAGGGGGGGGCAAGACUGGUGUCAGCCGCCGCGGUAACACCAGCCCCCCGAGUGGUGGGGACGUUUACUUGGCCUAAAGCGUCCGUAGCCGGCUCGGUAAAUCUCUCGUUAAAUCCGGCGUCCCAAGCGUCGGACUGCGAGAUAGACUGCCGGGCUAGAGGGUGGGAGAGGUCGGCGGUAUUCCCGGGGUAGGGGUGAAAUCCUAUAAUCCCGGGAGGACCACCAGUGGCGAAGGCUGUUGGCUAGAACAUGCCCGACGGUGAGGGAUGAAAGCUGGGGGAGCGAACCGGAUUAGAUACCCGGGUAGUCCCAGCUGUAAACGAUGCAGGCUAGGUGUUAGGGCGGCCACGUGCCGCUCUAGUGC